UAGGGAAUCUUCCGCAAUGGGCGAAAGCCUGACGGAGCAACGCCGCGUGAGUGAUGAAGGUCUUCGGAUCGUAAAACUCUGUUAUUAGGGAAGAACAAAUGUGUAAGUAACUAUGCACGUCUUGACGGUACCUAAUCAGAAAGCCACGGCUAACUACGUGCCAGCAGCCGCGGUAAUACGUAGGUGGCAAGCGUUAUCCGGAAUUAUUGGGCGUAAAGCGCGCGCAGGCGGUUUUUUAAGUCUGAUGUGAAAGCCCACGGCUCAACCGUGGAGGGUCAUUGGAAACUGGAAAACUUGAGUGCAGAAGAGGAAAGUGGAAUUCCAUGUGUAGCGGUGAAAUGCGCAGAGAUAUGGAGGAACACCAGUGGCGAAGGCGACUUUCUGGUCUGUAACUGACGCUGAUGUGCGAAAGCGUGGGGAUCAAACAGG
rnacentral:rRNA from 2 species